CCAAAGCAAUGCCAGAGUGGGUCGUUACAAUUGGUCGCAGGUUCGAAUCCUGCACGACCCACCAAUCGUUCUGGUGGAACGCGAUAGUAAAACGUGAAGGAUAACGUUGCGUCAGCAACGGCCCGUAGGGCGAGGCGAAGCCGAGUCAUCCUGCACGACCCACCG
rnacentral:sRNA from 1 species